GCACUGCGGGGGGCACAGUGGCGGAUCUUGCCCUGGUGCGGCGCCCUCCGGAAGGCGGCACCCCGGGCAAAAGUACCGCUUGCCCGUGGCAAGAACCGCCACUGUCCGUACCAACUGGGUUCCAGGACAAUUUCCAGAGACCUGCACCACCAUACAAAACUAUCCUGUCUUGGUUGGAACUGUUCUAAGUAACAGGGUUCGUGGCUAAUCACAAUAAAGGGCAGACACCGCAGCACCACGAGCAAUGUACUGUAUGAGGAUGGAAAAAGUUUCAGUUACCUUUUAUUGGAACACCUUGUAUAAAGUGAAACAACUCUGUAUAAAGGAAAUAGCAGGGGGAACGUUAAAAAAAGAACAUAAAGGUUUACAGGAAGUCAACAUUGGAGCGUCAUUCCAGGAAUAUCACAUCUAUGGUCGUAUGAGACUCAUAUGUUUAUAUACACAGGGGAAGUUUUUAGGGAAGGUACACCCAAUUAGAGCCAUAGAGACAAAUUCAAAUCCAGUUUCAACCUAGAAAGGAUGAAAACCGAAAAGCGGGAGGAGAGAAACGUGGACGCUUGAGUGAAGUGUAACGUGCGAUCCCAGUCUAUCAACGUGUCCAAUAUAGAGCCAUCAAGGGGUCUCCUAGCUUUGGAAGUCUACCGCAGAUCAAAUAAAGGGAGCAGUUCAGACCCGUGGCCAUUAUUGCCUGUCUAUGCACACACCACGCCGGAGUUCCCUCCAAAACCAGCUAUGGACGUCGCCAUGACAGUUCCUGGUCAGCUGACCUUCCAGGUCCAAUCCGUAUUCACUUCUGCAUCAUAUGAGCCGCUCAUCCACUCAGCUGUAAGCACAGGGUAUAAGUUCCAGGUCUCAAGCACUAGCAAGCUGUCAGUGCUUUGGUGUCUCUCAGCCUGGAGUGAGCUCCAGAAUCUCCUGCUGGUAAUAGACUUUGUGCAAGUUACCAUUCCCCGCACUGCCUGACUCCCUGGAUGAUUUAAAGGCAUACUUGCCUACCUGAC